UACAGAGGUCUCAAGCGUUGUUCGGAUUCAUUGGGCGUAAAGGGUGUGUAGGUGGCGCCGUAAGUCGGGUGUGAAAUUUCGGAGCUUAACUCCGAAACUGCAUUCGAUACUGCGGUGCUUGAGGACUGGAGAGGAGGCUGGAAUUCAUGGUGUAGCAGUGAAAUGCGUAGAGAUCAUGAGGAAGACCAGUGGCGAAGGCGGGUCUCUGGACAGUUCCUGACACUGAGACACGAAGGCCAGGGGAGCAAACGGG
rnacentral:rRNA from 1 species